rnacentral:rRNA from 1 species
AACGAACGCUGGCGGCGUGCUUAACACAUGCAAGUCGUACGGGAUCCAGGGCUUGCUCUGGUGAGAGUGGCGCACGGGUGAGUAACGCGUGGAUAACCUGCCCUGGUAUCUGGAAUAACAUCGCGAAAGUGGUGCUAAUACCGGAUAAGCUUACGGAGUCUUCGGCCUCUGUGAGAAAAGGUGGCCUCUAUUUAUAAGCUAUCGUAUCAGGAUGGUCCGCGUACCAUUAGCUAGUUGGUGGGUAAUGGCCUACCAAGGCGACGAUGGUUAGCUGGUCUGAGAGGAUGAUCAGCCACACUGGAACUGAGACACGGUCCAGACUCCUACGGGAGGCAGCAGUGGGAAUAUUGCGC